AUCUCCAUUGUUGUCCCACUGCAU
rnacentral:siRNA from 1 species